UUUUUUUUUUUACUAAAAGAGCGUUGGUGUUUUUAAUCAAUAUUAAUAUUAUCGUUUCUCUAUUACUUUUGUAGUAAGCCCUCUUUUCUUGGUAGUCUGCUCGAACUCCAAACAUACCCGAGUCAUUUACUCUCUCUUUGGAGUAUGCUCAUUUUCCUGGGUAUUUUGCUCCGACUGCAGAACUACUGCAAGACAUAAGCUCAUUUCAUAUUAUAUCACUUAAGUCAAAUAUGUUGUCUGUUUUACCAUGGUUAGUUUACUAAAACCUCUGAUUACAGUUAAGAUUUUGCAUUACAUGGAUAAGGAUUUGCCUAUGCUAGAAUAAUAUUAUGUUUGCUACAAUCAAGGUUUUACAUGAAGACUAGCUAGGUCAACAUAUUUAACAAUAAUUUAAUUAGGUGAUCAGCAAAAUUAAAUUCUUAUGAUUAAACUAACAUUAAAUUCUUGCACACA
rnacentral:lncRNA from 1 species